rnacentral:rRNA from 1 species
GGGCCCGCACAAGCGGUGGAGCAUGUGGUUUAAUUCGAUGCAACGCGAAGAACCUUACCUGGUCUUGACAUCCACAGAACUUUGCAGAGAUGCGAAGGUGCCUUCGGGAACUGUGAGACAGGUGCUGCAUGGCUGUCGUCAGCUCGUGUUGUGAAAUGUUGGGUUAAGUCCCGCAACGAGCGCAACCCUUAUCCUUUGUUGCCAGCGGUCCGGCCGGGAACUCAAAGGAGACUGCCAGUGAUAAACUGGAGGAAGGUGGGGAUGACGUCAAGUCAUCAUGGCCCUUACGACCAGGGCUACACACGUGCUACAAUGGCAUAUACAAAGAGAAGCGACCUCGCGAGAGCAAGCGGACCUCAUAAAGUAUGUCGUAGUCCGGAUUGGAGUCUGCAACUCGACUCCAUGAAGUCGGAAUCGCUAGUAAUCGUGGAUCAGAAUGCCA